rnacentral:rRNA from 1 species
GAGCGAACAGACGAGGAGCUUGCUCCUCUGACGUUAGCGGCGGACGGGUGAGUAACACGUGGAUAACCUACCUAUAAGACUGGGAUAACUUCGGGAAACCGGAGCUAAUACCGGAUAAUAUAUUGAACCGCAUGGUUCAAUAGUGAAAGACGGUUUUGCUGUCACUUAUAGAUGGAUCCGCGUCGCAUUAGCUAGUUGGUAAGGUAACGGCUUACCAAGGCAACGAUGCGUAGCCGACCUGAGAGGGUGAUCGGCCACACUGGAACUGAGACACGGUCCAGACUCCUACGGGAGGCAGCAGUAGGGAAUCUUCCGCAAUGGGCGAAAGCCUGACGGAGCAACGCCGCGUGAGUGAUGAAGGUCUUCGGAUCGUAAAACUCUGUUAUUAGGGAAGAACAAAUGUGUAAGUAACUAUGCACAUCUUGACGGUACCUAAUCAGAAAGCCACGGCUAACUACGUGCCAGCAGCCGCGGUAAUACGUAGGUGGCAAGCGUUAUCCGGAAUUAUUGGGCGUAAAGCGCGCGUAGGCGGUUUUUUAAGUCUGAUGUGAAAGCCCACGGCUCAACCGUGGAGGGUCAUUGGAAACUGAAAAACUUGAGUGCAGAAGAGGAAAGUGGAAUUCCAUGUGUAGCGGUGAAAUGCGCAGAGAUAUGGAGGAACACCAGUGGCGAAGGCGACUUUCUGGUCUGUAACUGACGCUGAUGUGCGAAAGCGUGGGGAUCAAA